rnacentral:rRNA from 1 species
UGGGGAAUAUUGCACAAUGGGGGAAACCCUGAUGCAGCGACGCCGCGUGAGCGAAGAAGGUUUUUGAAUCGUAAAGCUCUGUCCUAUGGGAAGAUAAUGACGGUACCAUAGGAGGAAGCCCCGGCUAACUACGUGCCAGCAGCCGCGGUAACACGUAGGGGGCAAGCGUUGUCCGGAAUCACUGGGCGUAAAGGGUUCGCAGGCGGAAAUGCAAGUCAGUUGUGAAAGGCAGAGGCUCAACCUCUGUAAGCAAUUGAAACUGUAUUUCUUGAGAUGUGGAGAGGCAAGUGGAAUUCCUAGUGUAGCGGUGAAAUGCGUAGAUAUUAGGAAGAAUACCGGUGGCGAAGGCGACUUGCUGGACACAAACUGACGCUGAGGAACGAAAGCGUGGGUAGCAAACAGG